GAUGAACGCUGGCGGCGUGCCUAAUACAUGCAAGUCGAGCGAACAGACGAGGAGCUUGCUCCUCUGACGUUAGCGGCGGACGGGUGAGUAACACGUGGUUAACCUACCUAUAAGACUGGGGUAACUUCGGGAAACCGGAGCUAAUACCGGAUAACAUGUUGAACUGCAUGGUUCAACAGUGAAAGACGGUCUUGCUGUCACUUAAAGAUGGAUCCGCGCCGCAUUAGCUAGUUGGUAAGGUAACGGCUUACCAAGGCAACGAUGGGAAGCCGACCUCAGGGCGUGGUUGCCCACCCUGGCUGUGAGGCACGGCCCCGACUCCUGCGGUGGGCCGCGGUCGGGACUCUUACGGGAUGGAGGAAUGCCUAACGUAGCAACGCCGCGUAAGUGAAGAAGGUCUUCGGAUCGUAGAGCUCUGUUAUUAGUGGGGUACAAAUGUGUAUGUAACUAUGCUCAUAUUGACGGUACCUGGACAGAAAGCCACGGCUAACUCCGUG
rnacentral:rRNA from 1 species